rnacentral:miRNA from 1 species
UUUCAUUCAAGCCGUCUUUUCU